GCGGUUGUGGCGGAAUUGGCAGACGCGCUACUUUGAGGGGGUAGUGAUCUCAGGUCGUAUGGGUUCAAGUCCCAUCAACCGCACCA
rnacentral:tRNA from 1 species